rnacentral:miRNA from 12 species
GAGACAUGGUCAGUGGGCAUGGUGGGGGUGGGUUGGGGUUGAACUUGGGGAUCUCAGAGGUCUUUUCCAACCUUAAUGACUCUAUGGUUCU